GAGAGGGGCUUUCGCUUCUCCUUUCUCUACUUCUCCCGACUGAGAGCUUCUUUCAACCCCGGUUCACUCCCAUGGAAGGGAGCACUCGGAAUCCUUCCAGGGUGGAGGGCUCCGCCCGCGCGGACGCUCGCCCCGCCGACUGGAGGUCCGACCUCAACGCCGAGUCGCGGCAGAGGGUCGUCGGCAAGAUAAUCAGCUCUCUAAAGAAACACUUCCCACCAGGUGCUUUGAGGGUCUAAGUGAUUUUCAGAAACUUGCUGUUCGAUUUGAGCAAAAGGUUUACGCUGCAGCUACUAGCCAGGAUGAUUAUCUGAGGAGAAUUUCUGCAAAAUUGCUUACAAUGGAAACAAGAGCUCAAAAUGGUGCUGGAAUUAAUUCUUCACCAUCAGUCCUUGCUACUGAGAGCCAAAAUUUAGCUGAUCCAGGAAUUGGCACAAAAGGUAUUAGUUUUUCUAACA